rnacentral:lncRNA from 1 species
AUUCAUUAAAAGACAAGCGACUGGGGAACCAAACCCAUGACGCAAAAUAGUUUGACCCAAUUACUUAAUUACUUAUUUCUGAAUAGAAAUCGACACAAGGCCCGAUGCCUAUUUCAUGGCUUUAUACGGGCCAGGACAAAUAAGAAAAAUUAGUGACGAAAAAACAUAAAAAUUUCAGAGCAAGUGGUACAACAGUGAAAUCAACAUGCAACAAAGAUGCAAAUUUUGCAAACGAUUUUCUAUAUGAUCAAUUUUUUUCUCUUAUUGAUGCCAUGAUACAAACCAUACAUUCAAGAAUACAGAAAUUUGAUACUAAUUAUGCCAUAAAUCUUUCGCAUGGUCCUUUAUUCUUCAGCCCAGGUUACUGCCACUGGGCGUCUCCUUUCAAGAAUUGGUGUUUACAGUUUCUUUUCUAAGCACAAAGUGGGAAUAUAUUAAUCUAAGUCCAUAUUUCUUCUGUAUUCUUGUUGUGAAAAUUUUAAUAUACUCGCAAGCGCACGAAUCUAGAGAUAGAAAAGUGGUAACGAGGUCGAUCCCACAGGGAUUGUUAUAAAUUGAAAAGUCUAAUUUAAAUCUAAAAUUAAUAUUAAUUCUAACCUAGUUGAGCAAAUUGAGUUUUAAGAGAAAUUAAACUAAUUAAACUAAG